GCCCGGAUGGUCUAGUGGUAUGAUUCUCGCUGUAAGUUCACACUUUACAACAUACCACAAGCAAAAAGACAUCUCUAACUUUCCUAGUCGGGUAAUAGCUCAAAAUGCGAGAGGUCCCGCGUUCGAAUCGCGGUUCGGGCC
rnacentral:tRNA from 1 species